UAAUACGUAGGGUCCAAGCGUUGUCCGGAUUUAUUGGGCGUAAAGAGCUCGUAGGCGGUUUCGUAAGUCGGGCGUGAAAUCUCUGGGCUUAACCCAGAGCGGCCGUUCGAUACUGCGAUGACUUGAGUUUGGUAGAGGAGUGUGGAAUUCCUGGUGUAGCGGUGAAAUGCGCAGAUAUCAGGAGGAACACCAAUGGCGAAGGCAGCACUCUGGGCCAUAACUGACGCUGAGGAGCGAAAGCGUGGGUAGCGAACAGGAUUAGAUACCCUGGUAGUCCACGCCCUAAACGUUGGGUACUAGGUGUGGGGAUCUUCGACGGUUUCCGCGCCGCAGCUAACGCAUUAAGUACCCCGCCUGGGGAGUACGACCGCAAGGUUA
rnacentral:rRNA from 1 species